rnacentral:rRNA from 1 species
UACGUAGGGGGCAAGCGUUGUCCGGAAUCAUUGGGCGUAAAGCGUGCGUAGGCGGCCAGAUAAGUCCGGUGUGAAAGUCAAAGGCUCAACCUUUGAAUGCCGCUGGAAACUGUCUGGCUAGAGUCCGGAAGGGGCGAGUGGAAUUCCUGGUGUAGCGGUGAAAUGCGCAGAUAUCAGGAAGAACACCAAUGGCGAAGGCAGCUCGCUGGGACGGUACUGACGCUGAGGCACGAAAGCGUGGGGAGCAAACAGG